UAGGGAAUAUUGCAAAAUGGGCAAAAGCCCGAUGCAGCAACGCCGCGUGGGCGAUGAAGGCCUUCGGGUCGUAAAGCCCUUUUUGAGGGGAUGAGGAAGGACAGUACCCUCAGAAUAAGCCUCGGCUAACUACGUGCCAGCAGACGCGGUAAAACGUAGGAGGCGAGCGUUAUCCGGAUUUACUGGGCGUAAAGCGCGUGCAGGCGGAUUGGAGAGUUGGAUGUGAAAGCUCCCGGCUUAACUGGGAGAGGUCGUUCAAUACUUCCAGUCUUGAGUGCAGUAGAGGGAAGUGGAAUUCCGGGUGUAGUGGUGAAAUGCGUAGAUAUCCGGAGGAACACCAGUGGCGAAAGCGGCUUCCUGGACUGUAACUGACGCUCAGACGCGAAAGCUAGGGUAGCAAACG
rnacentral:rRNA from 1 species